GCCUUCGUGGUGUAGUGGUCAGCACGCUCAGAGCGUAUUCGAGAGAUCCAGGGUUCGAAUCCCGGCGGGGGUA
rnacentral:tRNA from 1 species